rnacentral:lncRNA from 1 species
UGCAGGGAUAUCAAAGAAUGAGAAGUAAUGUCUCAGCCCUAGCUGAGCUCACCAGCGCUAAAGUGAAGUCACUUGUCCUAAAGGCCCAUAUCGCUGAAAGACUACUUAAGAUGGUAUAUGGAUUACCUUGAACUUCUCUAAUUUAUAUG